ACUCAAAUGAAUAGACGGGGACCUGCACAAGCGGUGGAGCAUGUGGUUUAAUUCGACGGUAAGCGAGGAACCUUACCAAGGCUUGACAUAUACCUGCAAGCCCCAGAAAUGGGGCCGCCUUCGAGGGUGGUAUACAGAUGCUGCACGGUAGUCGUCAGCUCGUGCCGUGAGGUGUUCACUUAAGUGUGAAAACGAGCGCAACCCCUGUUAUGAGUUACAAGUGUCUCAUAAGACUGCCGGCGUCUAAGCCGGAGGAAGGCGGGGAUGACGUCAUAUCAGCGUGGCUCUUACGCCUUGGGCGACACACGUGCUACAAUGGGUUGGCACAAAGGGACGCCAAAGAGUAAUCUGGAGCAAAUCCUUUAAAACAACCCCCAGUUCGGAUCGAGGGCUGCAACUCGCCCUCGUGAAGCCGGAAUCGCUAGUAACCGUAGAUCAGCCUCGCUACGGUGAAUACGUUCUCAGGUUUUGCACACACCGCCCGU
rnacentral:rRNA from 1 species